GACGAACGCUGGCGGCGUGCUUAACACAUGCAAGUCGAACGGAAAGGCCCUGCUUUUGUGGGGUGCUCGAGUGGCGAACGGGUGAGUAACACGUGAGUAACCUGCCCUUGACUUUGGGAUAACUUCAGGAAACUGGGGCUAAUACCGGAUAGGAGCUCCUGCUGCAUGGUGGGGGUUGGAAAUUUUCGGCGGUUGGGGAUGGACUGGCGGCUUAUCAGCUUGUUGGUGGGGUAGUGGCUUACCAAGGCUUUGACGGGUAGCCGGCCUGAGAGGGUGACCGGCCACAUUGGGACUGAGAUACGGCCCAGACUGCUACGGGAGGCAGCAGUGGGGAAUAUUGCACAAUGGGCGGAAGCCUGAUGCAGCAACGCCGCGUGCGGGAUGACGGCCUUCGGGUUGUAAACCGCUUUCGCCUGUGACGAAGCGUGAGUGACGGUAAUGGGUAAAGAAGCACCGGCUAACUACGUG
rnacentral:rRNA from 1 species